rnacentral:misc_RNA from 1 species
GUAUUGUAUUGCGUUAAACGCGGCAUGCAUUCCAUGAGACUUUGUUACAGUGUGUGUGUAAAGAUGCAGAACCACAGCAGGAGGGGACAGGCCCCCCCUAACCAUAGAACCACAGAGGGUGCACAGGGUGUGAGUGGAUGUGUGAACAGAGCGUGCACAUGCCCCCAUUAGAGGACCAGCAACAACUCUUGUUGACAAUUCAAUAAUGAUCCUUCCGCAGGUUCACCUACGGAAA